ACGAUUAAAGCUCCCUUCGGGGAGUGCAUAAAGUGGCGCACGGGUGAGUAACACGUAAGUAAUCUGCCUUUGAGUGGGGAAUAACCCGGGGAAACCCGAGCUAAUACCGCAUAACGCAGCGGCACCGCAAGGUGACAGUUGUUAAAGGAGCAAUCCGCUUGAAGAGGAGCUUGCGGCAGAUUAGCUUGUUGGUAAGGUAAUGGCUUACCAAGGCUACGAUCUGUAUCCGGUCUAAGAGGACGGUCGGACACACUGACACUGAAUAACGGGUCAGACUCCUACGGGAGGCAGCAGUCGGGAAUUUUGGGCAAUGGGGGAAACCCUGACCCAGCAACGCCGCGUGAAGGAUGAAGUAUUUCGGUAUGUAAACUUCGAAAGAAUAGGAAGAAUUAAUGACGGUACUAUUUAUAAGGUCCGGCUAACUACGUGCCAGCAGCCGCGGUAAUACGUAGGGACCAAGCGUUG
rnacentral:rRNA from 1 species